CCUACGGGAGGCAGCAGUAAGGAAUAUUGGUCAAUGGACGCAAGUCUGAACCAGCCAUGCCGCGUGAAGGAUUAAGGCCCUCUGGGUUGUAAACUUCUUUUAUAGGGGACGAAAAAAGGGCAUUCUUGCUCACUUGACGGUACCCUAGGAAUAAGCACCGGCUAACUCCGUGCCAGCAGCCGCGGUAAUACGGAGGGUGCAAGCGUUAUCCGGAUUUACUGGGUUUAAAGGGUGCGUAGGUGGGUUGGUAAGUCAGUGGUGAAAUCUUCGAGCUUAACUCGGAAACUGCCAUUGAUACUAUCAAUCUUGAAUCAUCUAGAGGUAAGCGGAAUAUGUCAUGUAGCGGUGAAAUGCUUAGAUAUGACAUAGAACACCAAUUGCGAAGGCAGCUUACUAUGGAUGUAUUGACACUGAGGCACGAAAGCGUGGGGAUCAAACAGGAUUAGAUACCCUGGUAGUCCACGCCCUAAACCGAUGGAUACUCGACAUUUGUGAUAUACUAUAAAGUGUNUGAGNGAAGACAUUAAGUUAAUUACCCACCCUCGGGAAGGUACGGACCGACCGAACGGUUAGUAAACGUACAAAGUAAGUAGUUAGACGGUCGUAGAGACGUACGACCGACGACGACCGACGGGAGGGAGGGAGG
rnacentral:rRNA from 1 species